rnacentral:rRNA from 1 species
AAUAGAUACCCGGGUAGUCCUGGCCCUAAACGAUGUCCACUAGAUUGCGGCGGGUUUGACCCCGUCGCGGUCGAAGCAAAAGUGUUAAGUGGACCGCCUGGGAAGUACGGUCGCAAGGCUAAAACUCAAAGGAAUUGACGGGGGCUCACACAAGCGGUGGAGCAUGUGGUUCAAUUCGAAGCAACGCGCAGAACCUUACCUGGGUUUGACAUGCUUGGAUUAUCCCGGUGAAAGCCGGGUAGGCCCCGCAAGGGGUACAACAAGUACAGGUGCUGCAUGGCUGUCGUCAGCUCGUGUCGUGAGAUGUUGGGUUAAGUCCCGCAACGAGCGCAACCCCCGUCCUAUGUUGCCAGCAUUAAGUUGGGGACUCAUAGGAGACUGCCGGUGACAAACCGGAGGAAGGUGGGGAUGACGUCAAGUCAUCAUGCCCCUUAUGUCCAGGGCUACACACGUGCUACAUUGGCCGAUACAGAGGGUUGCGAUACCGCGAGGUGGAGCGAAUCCCAAAAAGUCGGUCUCGGUUCGGAUUGGAGGCUGAAACUCGCCUCC